GAUGAACGCUAGCGGCAGGCCUAACACAUGCAAGUCGAACGGUAACAUUGGUGCUUGCACCAGAUGACGAGUGGCGCACGGGUGCGUAACGCGUAUACAAUCUACCUUUUACAGGGGGAUAGCCCAGAGAAAUUUGGAUUAAUACCUCAUAGUAUUAUUUAAUGGCAUCAUUAGAUAAUUAAAGAUUUAUCGGUAAAAGAUGAGUAUGCGUUCUAUUAGUUAGUUGGAGUGGUAACGGCACCCCAAGACAGCGAUAGAUAGGGGCCCUGAGAGGGGGAUCCCCCACACUGGUACUGAGACACGGACCAGACUCCUACGGGAGGCAGCAGUGAGGAAUAUUGGACAAUGGAGGCAACUCUGAUCCAGCCAUGCCGCGUGCAGGAAGACUGCCCUAUGGGUUGUAAACUGCUUUUAUACAGGAAGAAACCGCUCUACGUGUAGAGCUCUGACGGUACUGUAAGAAUAAGGAUCGGCUAACUCCGUGCCAGCAGCCGCGGUAAUACGGAGGAUCCAAGCGUUAUCCGGAAUCAUUGGGUUUAAAGGGUCCGUAGGUGGAUAAUUAAGUCAGAGGUGAAAGUCUGCAGCUCAACUGUAGAAUUGCCUUUGAUACUGGUUAUCUUGAAUUAUUAUGAAGUAGUUAGAAUAUGUAGUGUAGCGGUGAAAUGCAUAGAUAUUACAUAGAAUACCAAUUGCGAAGGCAGAUUACUAAUAAUAUAUUGACACUGAUGGACGAAAGCGUGGGGAGCGAACAGGAUUAGAUACCCUGGUAGUCCACGCCGUAAACGAUGGUUACUAGCUGUUCGGACUUCGGUCUGAGUGGCUAAGCGAAAGUGAUAAGUAACCCACCUGGGGAGUACGUUCGCAAGAAUG
rnacentral:rRNA from 1 species